CUAAGAAUAUUCCGCAAUGGACGGAAGUCUGACGGAGCGACGCCGCGUGGAUGACGAAGGCCGAAAGGUUGUAAAGUUCUUUUGCUGGGGAAGAAUAACCGCAGGAGGGAAUGCCUGUGGGAUGACAAGAACCGGCGAAUAAGCCCCGGCCAACUACGUGCCAGCAGCCGCGGUAACACGUAGGGGGGCGAGCGUUGUUCGGAAUUACUGGGCGUAAAGGGCAUGUAGGCGGCUUGGAAAGCCUGGCGUGAAAGUCUGCAGCUUAACUGCAGGGGUGCGCUGGGAACUGCUGAGCUUGAGUGACGGAGAGGGAGCUGGAAUUCCUGGUGUAGGGGUGAAAUCUGUAGAUAUCAGGAAGAACACCGAUGGCGAAGGCAAGCUCCUGGCCGAUGACUGACGCUGAGGUGCGAAAGUGUGGGGAUCAAACAGGAUUAGAUACCCUGGUAGUCCACACAGUCAACGAUGUGCACUAGGUGCUGGGGCGGUAGCUUCGGUGCCGGAGCGAACGUGGUAAGUGCACCGCCUGGGGAGUAUGCUCGCAAGGGUGAAACUCAAAGGAAUUGAC
rnacentral:rRNA from 1 species